rnacentral:rRNA from 1 species
UGGGGAAUCUUGGACAAUGGGCGCAAGCCUGAUCCAGCCAUGCCGCGUGAGUGAUGAAGGCCUUAGGGUUGUAAAGCUCUUUUUGCCGGGGACGAUAAUGACGGUACCCGGAGAAUAAGUCCCGGCUAACUUCGUGCCAGCAGCCGCGGUAAUACGAAGGGGACUAGCGUUGUUCGGAAUCACUGGGCGUAAAGCGCACGUAGGCGGAUUUGUAAGUCAGGGGUGAAAUCCCGGGGCUCAACCUCGGAACUGCCUUUGAUACUGCGGAUCUCGAGUCCGAUAGAGGUGAGUGGAAUUCCUAGUGUAGAGGUGAAAUUCGUAGAUAUUAGGAAGAACACCGGUGGCGAAGGCGGCUCACUGGAUCGGUACUGACGCUGAGGUGCGAAAGCGUGGGGAGCAAACAGGAUUAGAUACCCUUGUAGUCCCUGAGCGGGCUGGCAAGGCGCAU